AGAGUUUGAUCAUGGCUCAGAUUGAACGCUGGCGGAAUGCUUUACACAUGCAAGUCGAACGGCAGCACGGGGGCAACCCUGGUGGCGAGUGGCGAACGGGUGAGUAAUAUAUCGGAACGUGCCCAGUCGUGGGGGAUAACGCAGCGAAAGCUGUGCUAAUACCGCAUACGACCUAUGGAUGAAAGCGGGGGACUCGCAAGGGCCUCGCGCGAUUGGAGCGGCCGAUAUCGGAUUAGCUAGUUGGUGGGGUAAAAGCCCACCAAGGCGACGAUCUGUAACGGGUCUGAGAGGAUGAUCCGCCACACUGGAACUGAGACACGGUCCAGACUCCUACGGGAGGCAGCAGUGGGGAAUUUUGGACAAUGGGCGCAAGCCUGAUCCAGCCAUGCCGCGUGAGUGAAGAAGG
rnacentral:rRNA from 1 species